AUGUUAAAUCAAACAAAAUUUUGUAAAUGCAUGCGUUUGAGUUUAUUGAGUUCUCCAAUUUCAUAUAUGUUAUGUAGUGAAAAAAAAUCAUUAUGAGUAGAAUUCUUUUGAGCUCACACGUCUAAAAUCUUGUGAAGGGAAUUCAUAUUUGAAAUAUUUUAAACCAAAGGAUUAGCGAAAUUUAAUAAAAAAUUGAAAUAUAAAUCCAACCAAACUCCAAAACAAAGAGAGCCCGAAAUUAGAGUGAGUACUGCAAUUGUUCUUUUAAAAUUAUAAAACCAUCCUCCAAAGAUGCCAUGGAGGCAGGCGGAGGAGGCACUGGAGAUUCGAUGGCAUUGCCGCCAGUGGAGGAGAGGACGCGGCGGAGAGGGUGGGGAGAGUAGUUGUCGAGCCGGUUGCGAGAUGAUCUCGGUCUAUAGUCUAUACUCUUCAAGGUUGUGCAGCCCAAAGGCGGGACCCGACAAUGGCUGACUGACCACUGCCGAGUCAAAAAUGUCUGUAAGUACGAUGGGUCCGCCACACCCUGGUUCGGAUUGCCAGGUGGACGUCUACAACUCUACACUGAAAGCCAUAUCAACUUUCCAUCUUCCACCUCCUCUACUGGAAGGGUUGUUAGCACAAGUCUGAAUUGAACUGAACUAUAUAGUUACGGUACCGUGCUCUUGAAAAUUGAUCUGAACUAUCAUCUGGGUUCUGAUAACAUAUAGUACAUAAUCUUAUAUUGUUUUCAGAUAAAUAGAUUGAUAGCAUUUUCUGAAUUUUGUCAUAACAUAAAUAAUCACGGUCUUGCGCCGAAUACAUACAUAACUGCGGCCUUGUGCCGAAUAACAUACAUAACUGCGGCCUUGUGCCUGCUAUCAA